rnacentral:lncRNA from 1 species
GUCCUAGAGGCUGGCCUGUCUUCUUAGGAGGCUACCUCCCACUCUGUCCUCACCCACUUCUCUCUCCAGCUGUCCCCAGGAGCUUGAUGACCACAGCAAAGGCUGAGGCCACCAGUCAGGAAUGCACAGCCUCAAGUGGACAACCUCAGUACAAGUCGUAGGAGCCACACGGGCUUGCUCAGCAAGGAAUGCCAUCCGAAACAGCCAAAUCCUUCCAGCAAGCUACGUAGGUCGAGCACCUUCUCAGCCCAGGAUUGCUCAGGUGUUCAUGCACACCAGAAGAGGGAAUCAGAUUCCAUUUUGCAUGGUUGUGAGCCACCUUGUGGCUGCUGUGAAUUCAACUCAGGAGAGCAGCCAGCACUCUUAACUGCGGAGUCAUCUCUCCAGCACCCUGUUUUGUUUUGUUUUUCCCUUAACCUGAUCAGAAACCAGUUGCAUGGGAUUGAUCGCUCAGGAGAGUAGACCCUUCCCUUCUACUGUCAAUCAUGAUGGAGUCCUGGACUUGACAAUGGCUGCCCAGGAAAUCACCCAACAUUUCAGUAGACAACUAACAAUGCUAUUCAGAAUAUGAGUUUUGUCAAUCAUCCGUGAUCCCUUAGCUGAUAGAGAAGGGCAGGGCUCCAGGGGAGAAUGGACACAGAAAAUGUUUGCAGUGACAUCAGUUUCUUUGAAACAUCCCAAAUUCCAUGGGAGGGAAUAGCUGGGGAGCAGGUCCAGUAGAGGUCGUUCCUUCAGACACACUGUGGGUGGUGUCUGCCAGAGCUGGUCAACUGUGGGGCUGGGAGGAGAUCCCGGAGGACUGAGACUCCACAGCAGCACCCUGCCACCCUCCGACUCUGCCACCUGCCCCGGAGCAGCUAAGCCAGGGGUCCCUCCAUUCUUCUGUCACCCGACAGAAAUAGAAGAAAGGUAAAUAGAAGAAAGUAUCAGCUUUGCCAC